rnacentral:piRNA from 1 species
UGAGAAACCAGAGUGUUACCUCCCAGACGGU